rnacentral:rRNA from 1 species
GACGAACGCUGGCGGCGUGCCUAAUACAUGCAAGUCGAGCGAGCGGAACUAACAGAUUUACUUCGGUAAUGACGUUAGGAAAGCGAGCGGCGGAUGGGUGAGUAACACGUGGGGAACCUGCCCCAUAGUCUGGGAUACCACUUGGAAACAGGUGCUAAUAUCGGAUAAGAAAGCAGAUCGCAUGAUCAGCUUUUAAAAGGCGGCGUAAGCUGUCGCUAUGGGAUGGCCCCGCGGUGCAUUAGCUAGUUGGUAAGGUAAAGGCUUACCAAGGCGAUGAUGCAUAGCCGAGUUGAGAGACUGAUCGGCCACAUUGGGACUGAGACACGGCCCAAACUCCUACGGGAGGCAGCAGUAGGGAAUCUUCCACAAUGGACGCAAGUCUGAUGGAGCAACGCCGCGUGAGUGAAGAAGGUUUUCGGAUCGUAAAGCUCUGUUGUUGGUGAAGAAGGAUAGAGGUAGUAACUGGCCUUUAUUUGACGGUAAUCAACCAGAAAGUCACGGCUAACUACGUGCCAGCAGCCGCGGUAAUACGUAGGUGGCAAGCGUUGUCCGGAUUUAUUGGGCGUAAAGCGAGCGCAGGCGGAAGAAUAAGUCUGAUGUGAAAGCCCUCGGCUUAACCGAGGAACUGCAUCGGAAACUGUUUUUCUUGAGAGCAGAAGAGGAGAGUGGAACUCCAUGUGUAGCGGUGGAAUGCGUAGAUAUAUGGAAGAACACCAGUGGCGAAGGCGGCUCUCUGGUCUGCAACUGACGCUGAGGCUCGAAAGCAUGGGUAGCGAACAGGAUUAGAUACCCUGGUAGUCCAUGCCGUAAACGAUGAGUGCUAAGUGUUGGGAGGUUUCCGCCUCUCAGUGCUGCAGCUAACGCAUUAAGCACUCCGCCUGGGGAGUACGACCGCAAGGUUGAAACUCAAAGGAAUUGACGGGGGCCCGCACAAGCGGUGGAGCAUGUGGUUUAAUUCGAAGCAACGCGAAGAACCUUACCAGGUCUUGACAUCUAGUGCCAUUUGUAGAGAUACAAAGUUCCCUUCGGGGACGCUAAGACAGGUGGUGCAUGGCUGUCGUCAGCUCGUGUCGUGAGAUGUUGGGUUAAGUCCCGCAACGAGCGCAACCCUUGUUAUUAGUUGCCAGCAUUAAGUUGGGCACUCUAAUGAGACUGCCGGUGACAAACCGGAGGAAGGUGGGGAUGACGUCAAGUCAUCAUGCCCCUUAUGACCUGGGCUACACACGUGCUACAAUGGGCAGUACAACGAGAAGCGAGCCUGCGAAGGCAAGCGAAUCUCUGAAAGCUGUUUUCAGUUCGGACUGCAGUCUGCAACUCGACUGCACGAAGCUGGAAUCGCUAGUAAUCGCGGAUCAGCACGCCGCGGUGAAUACGUUCCCGGGCCU